UUAACUUUCCAUUCUCAACUCCUAUCCUAGCUCCUGGCACAGAACAUGUCAUCCAAGUUAGGCAUCAUCGUCGCCUGCUCUUGGUGAAGUUUUCUUUUGCGUACUGUGGAGAGAUGCGCUCAUUACCAGCUGGCGAUGGAGACGCUGAAACGCAAAUGGAUUUGAGACUGGGCGACUCCCAUCUCUAUGGUUGGUAUGUGACCCAUCUAUCCUCUGGAGGACUCAGCAAGGACUACCAGUCACCAGACAACUUUACGCGCACGUGGUCGCAAGGUGAACUUGCUAUUGGUUAAUGGCAGUAAAGCCCGCCCAUCAGCGCCCGCCCAUUAGCGCUGGUCUGCUCCUUUAAAAGAACGCCAUCGACGCUCCUCUGUCUUUCAGCGCCUGCAGGUUCCGGGAGGUCAGCUCCCAGCCGAGGACGUCGGAUGUCAUCGUCCUUGCUGCUUUACCACCCCAUUCCCGUCAAUAAAGUGCUUUGAACCCAACCCUGGUGUCGGUGUGUGUCGUUGGCGACGCGCUGUCUUUGAGCCCCCGCCGAGCCUCCUCGUGGCGCCGGGGGUCAAUCUGCAGCGCUAGAGCAUGUGCUUGCGCAUAACUGGGGCCGCCUGGCUCCCCGCGGGCGGCCCUUUUAACCGCGAGCGACAACAAGUAACCUGA